CCUACGGGAGGCAGCAGUGGGGAAUAUUGCGCAUUGGGCGAAAGCCUGACGCAGCGACGCCGCGUGAGGGACGAUGGCCUUCGGGUCGUAAACCGCUUUCAGCAGGGACGAGGCCCUCACGGUGCCGGUACCUGCAGCAGAAGCCCCGGCUAACUACGUGCCAGCAGCCGCGGUAAUACGGAGGGGGCGAGCGGUAUCCGGAUUCAUUGGGCGUAAGGCGCGCGGAGGCGGCCUGUUAGGUCGGGGGUCAAAUGCCGGGGCUCAACCCCGGUCCGCCCCCGAUACCGGCAGGCUUGAGUCUGGUAGGGGAAGGCGGAAUUCCGAGUGUAGCGGUGGAAUGCGCAGAUAUUGGGAAGAACACCGGCGGCGAAGGCGG
rnacentral:rRNA from 1 species